UUNNAUCCUGGCUCAGAUUGAACGCUGGCGGCAGGCCUAACACAUGCAAGUCGAGCGGAUGAAAGGAGCUUGCUCCUGGAUUCAGCGGCGGACGGGUGAGUAAUGCCUAGGAAUCUGCCUGGUAGUGGGGGACAACGUUUCGAAAGGAACGCUAAUACCGCAUACGUCCUACGGGAGAAAGCAGGGGACCUUCGGGCCNUGCGCUAUCAGAUGAGCCUAGGUCGGAUUAGCUAGUUGGUGAGGUAAUGGCUCACCAAGGCGACGAUCCGUAACUGGUCUGAGAGGAUGAUCAGUCACACUGGAACUGAGACACGGUCCAGACUCCUACGGGAGGCAGCAGUGGGGAAUAUUGGACAAUGGGCGAAAGCCUGAUCCAGCCAUGCCGCGUGUGUGAAGAAGGUCUUCGGAUUGUAAAGCACUUUAAGUUGGGAGGAAGGGUUGUAGAUUAAUACUCUGCAAUUUUGACGUUACCGACAGAAUAAGCACCGGCUAACUCUGUGCCAGCAGCCGCGGUAAUACAGAGGGUGCAAGCGUUAAUCGGAAUUACUGGGCGUAAAGCGCGCGUAGGUGGUNUGUUAAGUUGGAUGUGAAAUCCCCGGGCUCAACCUGGGAACUGCAUCCAAAACUGGCAAGCUAGAGUAUGGUAGAGGGUGGUGGAAUUUCCUGUGUAGCGGUGAAAUGCGUAGAUAUAGGAAGGAACACCAGUGGCGAAGGCGACCACCUGGACNNA
rnacentral:rRNA from 1 species